rnacentral:misc_RNA from 1 species
UACGAGUGGCCCUAGCGUUAAUCGGAUUUACUGGGCGUAAAGCGUGCGUAGGCGGCUUUUUAAGUCGGAUGUGAAAUCCCCGAGCUUAACUUGGGAAUUGCAUUCGAUACUGGGAAGCUAGAGUAUGGGAGAUGAUGGUAGAAUUCCAGGUGUAGCGGUGAAAUGCGUAGAGAUCUGGAGGAAUACCGAUGGCGAAGGCAGCCAUCUGGCCUAAUACUGACGCUGAGGUACGAAAGCAUGGGGAGCAAACAGG